AGAUCUUGCCAAACAAUAAAUUUUAUUGCCCUAAAUUUACGUGUGUGUUUCUCUCUCUUCAUUGGAGCUUCUUUCUCUAAUUCUCCAUCGCCGCCGAUGCUACCAUGAUGAUCUGAGCCGAUCGUGUCAAUCUCAGCUCCUAUUUGGCCCGUAUCUGAUGUGCAUCGCCGGUGAAUGACUAGAAUUCCAUUAUUGGAUAGCAAAAUCUUCAGCUUGGAUCUCCACUAAUUCCAUAUUUGUGUGAUGGAAUCAGCUUCUUCAAUUUUCAGUCGAGCUAACUCUGAACUUCUCAUGAUGCUUCCACUUUUGCACAAACUUGGGAAAUAUACAAGAGAUGUACAUGCGGGACACUUCAAUAUAGAUGGGAAUAUAUACUGCUCUUCAACUCUUUUGUCUUCGAUGCACCAACUCAAAAUUUUGACUCAUAACCUUCAAACCAACACCAAUUGAGCUUAAAAUUUAAUAUAAGCUCCACACAAGUGUAAUCAACAAGAUAUUUAAAACACCCUCAUUUCACAUUACGACACUUUCAAAUUUUGAUUUUUAUAUAUGAAAGCUUCUAGCUCCACAAUUACGUGUU